GGAUGAACGCUAGCUACAGGCUUAACACAUGCAAGUCGAGGGGCAGCAUGGUCUUAGCUUGCUAAGGCCGAUGGCGACCGGCGCACGGGUGAGUAACACGUAUCCAACCUGCCGUCUACUCUUGGACAGCCUUCUGAAAGGAAGAUUAAUACAAGAUGGCAUCAUGAGUUCACAUGUUCACAUGAUUAAAGGUUUUCCGGUAGACGAUGGGGAUGCGUUCCAUUAGAUAGUAGGCGGGGUAACGGCCCACCUAGUCUUCGAUGGAUAGGGGUUCUGAGAGGAAGGUCCCCCACAUUGGAACUGAGACACGGUCCAAACUCCUACGGGAGGCAGCAGUGAGGAAUAUUGGUCAAUGGGCGAGAGCCUGAACCAGCCAAGUAGCGUGAAGGAUGACUGCCCUAUGGGUUGUAAACUUCUUUUAUAAAGGAAUAAAGUCGGGUAUGGAUACCCGUUUGCAUGUACUUUAUGAAUAAGGAUCGGCUAACUCCGUGCCAGCAGCCGCGGUAAUACGGAGGAUCCGAGCGUUAUCCGGAUUUAUUGGGUUUAAAGGGAGCGUAGAUGGAUGUUUAAGUCAGUUGUGAAAGUUUGCGGCUCAACCGUAAAAUUGCAGUUGAUACUGGAUAUCUUGAGUGCAGUUGAGGCAGGCGGAAUUCGUGGUGUAGCGGUGAAAUGCUUAGAUAUCACGAAGAACUCCGAUUGCGAAGGCAGCCUGCUAAGCUGCAACUGACAUUGAGGCUCGAAAGUGUGGGUAUCAAACAGGAUUAGAUACCCUGGUAGUCCACACGGUAAACGAUGAAUACUCGCUGUUUGCGAUAUACAGCAAGCGGCCAAGCGAAAGCGUUAAGUAUUCCACCUGGGGAGUACGCCGGCAACGGUGAAACUCAAAGGAAU
rnacentral:rRNA from 1 species